UCUCCUCUGAUUUAGCGGCGGACGGGUGAGUAACACGUGGGUAACCUACCCUAUAGACUGGGAUAACUUCGGGAAACAGGAGCUAAUACCGGAUAAUACUUCGAAACACAUGUUUUGAAGUUGAAAGAUGGUUUCGGCUAUCACUAUAGGAUGGACCCGCGGCGCAUUAGCUAGUUGGUGAGGUAACGGCUCACCAAGGCAACGAUGCGUAGCCGACCUGAGAGGGUGAUCGGCCACACUGGGACUGAGACACGGCCCAGACUCCUACGGGAGGCAGCAGUAGGGAAUCUUCCACAAUGGACGAAAGUCUGAUGGAGCAACGCCGCGUGAGUGAAGAAGGAUUUCGGUUCGUAAAACUCUGUUGCAAGGGAAGAACAAGUAGCGUAGUAACUGGCGCUACCUUGACGGUACCUUGUUAGAAAGCCACGGCUAACUACGUGCCAGCCGCCGC
rnacentral:rRNA from 1 species